UACGUAGGGGGCGAGCGUUGUCCGGAAUGACUGGGCGUAAAGGGCGUGCAGGCGGUCUUUCAGGUCCCCUGUGAAAUCCCCGGGCUCAACCCGGGUGGUGCAGGGGAAACCGGGAGGCUAGAGGGGAGUAGAGGAGAGCGGAAUUCCCGGUGGAGCGGUGAAAUGCGUAGAGAUCGGGAAGAACACCAGUGGCGAAGGCGGCUCUCUGGGCUUACCCUGACGCUGAGGCGCGAAAGCCAGGGGAGCGAACGGG
rnacentral:rRNA from 1 species